UCCAAGUAGCGAUAGCAUUGAACAGCUUGCAAACUUCAUAGCUGUGAGCUAACGUUACAGAAUAAGGUUCGAAAAGCGGGUUAGGGGGAGAUAAACGUCAGAUCUGUUUAGUCAAGAUCACAGCAGUCGUGGACUCGUAGUGUCGACAGCCAAUGAGAACGAAAGUUAUGGAGGCGGGGAGGAAGCAGCAGUUACAUGAAACCACCACCAGAUGGCAGCGUUUCUCUGUCAACACGACUGGUGAAGUACAGAUGCUUCGGAAAGUUGUGGAGCAGACUUAUUUCACCCUGCAUCAGUCACCUUUUCCAUACUGUCCCCUGGACAGCGUGAAGGCCUGCAUCUGCACAGGAACCAGCUUGAUCUGCAGCUGCGACGACAUCAG